rnacentral:rRNA from 1 species
AGGGUUUGAUUCUGGCUCAGAACGAACGCUGGCGGCAGGCCUAACACAUGCAAGUCGAGCGAGACCUUCGGGUCUAGCGGCGGACGGGUUAGUAACGCGUGGGAACGUACCCUUUUCUACGGAAUAGCCUUUGGAAACGAAGAGUAAUACCGUAUACGCCCUUUGGGGGAAAGAUUUAUCGGAGAAGGAUCGGCCCGCGUUAGAUUAGAUAGUUGGUGGGGUAAUGGCCUACCAAGUCUACGAUCUAUAGCUGGUUUUAGAGGAUGAUCAGCAACACUGGGACUGAGACACGGCCCAGACUCCUACGGGAGGCAGCAGUGGGGAAUCUUAGACAAUGGGCGCAAGCCUGAUCUAGCCAUGCCGCGUGAGUGAAGAAGGCCUUAGGGUCGUAAAGCUCUUUCGCCAGGGAUGAUAAUGACAGUACCUGGUAAAGAAACCCCGGCUAACUCCGUGCCAGCAGCCGCGGUAAUACGGAGGGGGUUAGCGUUGUUCGGAAUUACUGGGCGUAAAGCGCACGUAGGCGGAUUAGAAAGUUAGAGGUGAAAUCCCAGGGCUCAACCCUGGAACUGCCUUUAAAACUCCUAGUCUUGAGUUCGAGAGAGGUGAGUGGAAUUCCAAGUGUAGAGGUGAAAUUCGUAGAUAUUUGGAGGAACACCAGUGGCGAAGGCGGCUCACUGGCUCGAUACUGACGCUGAGGUGCGAAAGUGUGGGGAGCAAACAGGAUUAGAUACCCUGGUAGUCCACACCGUAAACGAUGAAUGCCAGUCGUCGGGUAGUAUACUAUUCGGUGACACACCUAACGGAUUAAGCAUUCCGCCUGGGGAGUACGGUCGCAAGAUUAAAACUCAAAUGAAUUGACGG